rnacentral:rRNA from 1 species
UACGAAGGGGGCUAGCGUUGCUCGGAAUCACUGGGCGUAAAGGGUGCGUAGGCGGGUCUUUAAGUCAGGGGUGAAAUCCUGGAGCUCAACUCCAGAACUGCCUUUGAUACUGAGGAUCUUGAGUUCGGGAGAGGUGAGUGGAACUGCGAGUGUAGAGGUGAAAUUCGUAGAUAUUCGCAAGAACACCGGUGGCGAAGGCGGCCAACUGGACCAUUACUGACGCUGAGGCGCGAAAGCGUGGGGAGCAAACAGG